rnacentral:rRNA from 1 species
UACGAAGGGGGCUAGCGUUGUUCGGAAUUACUGGGCGUAAAGCGCACGUAGGCGGCCUACUAAGUCAGGGGUGAAAUCCCGGGGCUCAACCCCGGAACUGCCUUUGAUACUGAUAGUCUCGAGUCCGGAAGAGGUGAGUGGAAUUCCGAGUGUAGAGGUGAAAUUCGUAGAUAUUCGGAGGAACACCAGUGGCGAAGGCGGCUCACUGGUCCGGUACUGACGCUGAGGUGCGAAAGCGUGGGGAGCAAACAGG